rnacentral:rRNA from 1 species
AUUGAACGCUGGCGGCAUGCCUUACACAUGCAAGUCGAACGGCAGCGGACCUUCGGGUGCCGGCGAGUGGCGAACGGGUGAGUAAAGUAUCGGAACGUACCUUUCAGUGGGGGAUAACGUAGCGAAAGUUACGCUAAUACCGAAUAUUCUGUGAGCAGGAAAGCAGGGGAUAGCAAGACCUUGCGCUGAUUGAGCGGCCGAUAUCAGAUUAGCUAGUUGGUUAGGUAAAGGCUCACCAAGGCGACGAUCUGUAGCGGGUCUGAGAGGAUGAUCCGCCACACUGGAACUGAGACACGGUCCAGACUCCUACGGGAGGCAGCAGUGGGGAAUUUUGGACAAUGGGGGCAACCCUGAUCCAGCCAUGCCGCGUGAGUGAAGAAGGCCUUCGGGUUGUAAAGCUCUUUCGGCCGGGAAGAAAUCGCACGGGCUAAUACCCUGUGUGGAUGACGGUACCGGAAUAAGAAGCACCGGCUAACUACGUGCCAGCCGCCGCUGUAAUAC